GAGCGAAUGCCAAGAAAUCAAAAUACAUUGGCAUGCAAUUUGGACACAAAAACUAGUAUCACCCAGUCAACUGCCAGAAGCGACUCAAACACAGGCCACCAGUGGAACUCGGCUGUACCACUGCAGUGCUGCGGAAAUUGCCAGCACCAGCGGCUUUGCAACAGCUGUUUCGCAGCAUGUCGGAGACAAUGCCUACGAAAUUAUUGGCCCUGAUGACGAGAGGCCUCAAGGGGCAAACGACAUCUCUGUUGCUGAAGUGAGCCCGAUACCACUUGAAGUUACCAUGACAGAUGACACGGCAGCAAUAGAUACAGAGACUGCCAUGUCUACUGCAGCUGCAACAGUGUACGAGGCAAGCAGCAGCACGUCAGCAUCAGCAGCAGUGUCAGAAGGAACCACACCAGGCCUGGUAGAGCAACAUGUGUGCUAUCACUGUGACUUUUUUUGUAGUGCAUACAACUCAUUUGCUCAACAUACAAAAGCUUUUCACCACGACUGUGAGCCAGUGUUCUUGUGCAGCAAGUGCAAGACUAAGUUAGGUGUUAUAACACAGUGCAAGCAUCACUUUAAGAUAUGCAAAUGGAAACAUAUUACAGCUGUUGCCUCCCGAGCCAGCCCACAUAGCGACAACAAUGUGGAACACAUGGUGGGACACACCUCUCCCCUAUUAGAAGAUAGUAGAGAUUGUCAGUGUUGUUGCUAGAUUAAUUGGUCUUUGUAGGCAACUAGAAGGACAACACAGGUGUCAUAAGAUUGUUGUUGAUGUUGUUGUUGAA
rnacentral:lncRNA from 1 species